CAACUACUCCCUCUAUCCCAAAUUUCUUGUCUUAGAUUUAUCUAGAUACAGAUGUAUCUAAUACUAAAAUGUGACUUGAUACAUCCGUAUCUAGAAAAAUCUAAGACAAGAAUUUUGGGACGGAGGGAGUACUUU
rnacentral:pre_miRNA from 1 species